rnacentral:lncRNA from 1 species
CGCUUACGCGCGCGAGAUUUCGCGUGGCAGCCACCUGCUGAUGCGCAGGCUUUGCCAACCCAGCUUUUCGCCGCUGGAUACUGGAGAGUCCCAACAGUCCAUGAGGACAUGCGCAGAUUAAAACGGGGAACCGAGCAGUUUGAAGACCGAGAAACAGGGCAGCAGCCCUCCGAUAAGCAGGAUCCGGUGGAACGGACACCGUUUUCUGUUCUUU